GAUGAACGCUGGCGGCGUGCCUAAUACAUGCAAGUCGAGCGAACGGACGAGAAGCUUGCUUCUCUGAUGUUUGCGGCGGACGUGUGUGUAACACGUGUAUACCCUACCUUUAAGACUGGGAUCACUUCGGGAAACCGGCUCUAAUCCCGUAUAAUAUUUUGAACCGCAUGGUUUAAAUGUGAAAUACGGUCUUGCUGUUACUUAUUGAUGCUUCCGCGCUUUAUUAGCUAGUUGGUAAGGUAACGGCUUACGAAGGCAACGAUUCAUAGCCGACCUGAGAGGGGGAUCGGCAACACGGGAACGGAGAAACGGUCAAGACUCCUACGGGAGGAAGAAGUAGGGAAUCUUCGGAAAUGGGCGAAAGCCUGACGGAGAAACGCCGCGUGAGUAAUGAAGGUCUUCGGAUCGAAAGACUCUGUUAAAAGGGAAGAACAGAUGUGUAAGUAACAGUGCACAUCGUGACGGUACCUAAUCAGAAAGCCACGGCUAACUACGUG
rnacentral:rRNA from 1 species